CCUACGGGAGGCAGCAGUAGGGAAUUUUCGGCAAUGGGGGGAACCCUGACCGAGCAACGCCGCGUGAACGAAGAAGUUAUUCGUAAUGUAAAGUUCUUUUAACAGGGAAGAAAGAGAAAUUUGACGGUACCUGAAGAAUAAGCUCCGGCUAACUACGUGCCAGCAGCCGCGGUAAUACGUAGGGAGCGAGCGUUAUCCGGAUUUAUUGGGUUUAAAGGGAGCGUAGGCGGAAUGCCAAGUCAGCGGUAAAAUCGCGGGGCUCAACCUCGCUCCGCCGUUGAAACUGGCGUUCUUGAGUGGGCGAGAAGUAUGCGGAAUGCGUGGUGUAGCGGUGAAAUGCAUAGAUAUCACGCAGAACUCCGAUUGCGAAGGCAGCAUACCGGCGCCCAACUGACGCUGAAGCACGAAAGCGUGGGUAUCGAACAGGAUUAGAUACCCUGGUAGUC
rnacentral:rRNA from 1 species